AGAGUUUGAUCCUGGCUCAGAAUGAACGUUGGCGGCGUGGAUUAGGCAUGCAAGUCGUGCGGCAGCAGGCCCGCAAGGGCGCUGGCGAGCGGCGAAAGGGAGAGUAACACGCGGGUACCUACCCUCAGGACCGGGAUAGCUGCGGGAAACUGCAAUUAAUACCGGAUGAUGUCUCCGGACCAAAGGUGUAAUUCCGCCGGAGGAGGGGCCCACGUCCUAUCAGCUAGUUGGUGAGGUAAUGGCCCACCAAGGCGACGACGGGUACGGGGUGUGAGAGCAUGCCCCCGCUCACUGGGACUGAGACACUGCCCAGACACCUACGGGUGGCUGCAGUCGAGAAUCUUCCGCAAUGGGCGAAAGCCUGACGGAGCGACGCCGCGUGCGGGAUGAAGGCCUUCGGGUUGUAAACCGCUGUCAGUGGGGAGGAAGUGCACGGGGGUUAUCCCCUGUGUUUGACCGAUCCGCAGAGGAAGCACAGGCUAAGUUCGUGCCAGCAGCCGCGGUAACACGAACUGUGCAAACGUUAUUCGGAAUCACUGGGCUUAAAGAGUUCGUAGGCGGCGCGUUAAGUCGGGUGUGAAAGCCCUCGGCUCAACCGAGGAAUUGCGCCCGAAACUGGCGUGCUUGAGUGAGAUAGAGGUGAGCGGAACUGAUGGUGGAGCGGUGAAAUGCGUUGAUAUCAUCAGGAACACCGGUGGCGAAAGCGGCUCACUGGGUCUCAACUGACGCUGAGGAACGAAAGCUAGGGGAGCGAACGGGAUUAGAUACCCCGGUAGUCCUAGCCGUAAACGAUGAGCACU
rnacentral:rRNA from 1 species